GAUGAACGCUGGCGGCGUGCCUAAUACAUGCAAGUCGAGCGAACAGAUAAGGAGCUUGCUCCCUUGACGUUAGCGGCGGACGGGUGAGUAACACGUGGAUAACCUACCUAUAAGACUGGGAUAACUUCGGGAAACCGGAGCUAAUACCGGAUAACAUAUUGAACCGCAUGGUUCAAUAGUGAAAGGCGGCUUUGCUGUCACUUAUAGAUGGAUCCGCGCCGUAUUAGCUAGUUGGUAAGGUAACGGCUUACCAAGGCAACGAUACGUAGCCGACCUGAGAGGGUGAUCGGCCACACUGGAACUGAGACACGGUCCAGACUCCUACGGGAGGCAGCAGUAGGGAAUCUUCCGCAAUGGGCGAAAGCCUGACGGAGCAACGCCGCGUGAGUGAUGAAGGUCUUCGGAUCGUAAAACUCUGUUAUCAGGGAAGAACAAAUGUGUAAGUAACUGUGCACAUCUUGACGGUACCUGAUCAGAAAGCCACGGCUAACUACGUG
rnacentral:rRNA from 1 species